rnacentral:rRNA from 1 species
UACGUAGGUGGCAAGCGUUAUCCGGAAUUAUUGGGCGUAAAGCGCGCGCAGGCGGUUUCUUAAGUCUGAUGUGAAAUCCCACGGCUCAACCGUGGAACCGCUGGGUAUACUGGUUGUCUUGAGCCGGCUAGGGGCGAGCGGAACAGACGGUGGAGCGGUGAAAUGCGUAGAUAUCGUCUGGAACGCCGAAGGUGAAAACAGCUCGCUGGGGCCGCGCUGACGCUGAGACACGAAAGCCAGGGGAGCGAACGGG